UACGUAGGUCCCGAGCGUUGUCCGGAUUUAUGGGGCGUAAAGCGAGCGCAGGUGGUGUAAUAAGUCUGAUGUAAAAGGCAGUGGCUCAACCAUUGUGUGCAUUGGAAACUGUUAGACUUGAGUGCAGUAGAGGAGAGUGGAAUUCCAUGUGUAGCGGUGAAAUGCGUAGAUAUAUGGAGGAACACCGGUGGCGAAAGCGGCUCUCUGGACUGUAACUGACACUGAGGCUCGAAAGCGUGGGUAGCAAACAGG
rnacentral:rRNA from 1 species